rnacentral:tRNA from 1 species
AGGGUAGUAGUUCAGUGGUAGAACGGCGGUCUCCAAAACCGCAUGUCGUGGGUUCGAGUCCUGCCUGCCCUG